rnacentral:rRNA from 1 species
ACGGAAGGCAGCAGUGGGGAGUAUUGGACAAUGGGGGAAACCCUGAUCCAGCGACGCCGCGUGAGUGAAGAAGUAUUUCGGUAUGUAAAGCUUUAUCAGCAAGGAAGAAAAUGACGGUACUUGACUAAGAAGCCCCGGCUAACUACGUGCCAGCAGCCGCGGUAAUACGUAGGGGGCAAGCGUUAUCCGGGUUUACUGGGUGUAAAGGGAGCGUAGACGGCAAAGCAAGUCUGAAGUGAAAUCCCGGGGCUCAACCCUGGAACUGCUUUGGAAACUGUUUAGCUAGAGUGCAGGAGAGGUAAGUGGAAUUCCUAGUGUAGCGGUGAAAUGCGUAGAUAUUAGGAGGAACACCAGUGGCGAAGGCGGCUUGCUGGACGACAACUGACGCUGAGGCGCGAAAGCGUGGGGAGCAAACAGGAUUAGAUACCCUGGUA